UACGUAGGCAGCGAGCGUUGUUCGGAGUUACUGGGCGUAAAGCGCACGUAGGCGGAUAUUUAAGUCAGGGGUGAAAUCCCAGAGCUCAACUCUGGAACUGCCUUUGAUACUGGGUAUCUUGAGUAUGGAAGAGGUAAGUGGAAUUGCGAGUGUAGAGGUGAAAUUCGUAGAUAUUCGCAGGAACACCAGUGGCGAAGGCGGCUUACUGGUCCAUUACUGACGCUGAGGUGCGAAAGCGUGGGGAGCAAACAGG
rnacentral:rRNA from 1 species